GAUGAACGCUGGCGGCGUGCUUAACACAUGCAAGUCGAACGGAAAGGCUCCUGCCUGUAGGGGUACUCGAGUGGCGAACGGGUGAGUAACACGUGGGUGACCUGCCCUGUACUUCGGGAUAAGCUUGGGAAACUGGGUCUAAUAUCGGAUAUGACAAGCCCUUGGAUGGGGUUGUGGAAAGCUUUUGCGGUAUGGGAUGGGCUGGCGGCUUAUCAGCUUGUGGGUGGGGUAGUGGCCUACCAAGACGUCGACGGGUAGCCGGCCUGAGAGGGGGUACGGGCACAUUGGGACUGAGAGACGGCGCAGAGUCGUACGUGAGGCAGCAGUGGGGAGUAUUGCACAAUGGGCGCGAGCCUGAUACGGCGGCGCCGGGUGUGGGAUGACGGCCUUCGGGGUGUAAACUCCUUUCGCAUACGACGAAGCUUUUGUGACGGUAGGUAGAGAAGAAGCACCGGCUAACUACGUG
rnacentral:rRNA from 1 species